UCCUCCGUGGCGCAAUUGGCUAGCGCGUUCGACUGUUAUACCAGGCAGGGUUGCUUUGUGGGCGCAUAUCGAGAGGUUGGAAGUUCGAGCCUUCCCGGGGGAG
rnacentral:tRNA from 1 species